rnacentral:misc_RNA from 1 species
UUUCCGUAGGUGAACCUGCGGAAGGAUCAUUAUUGGAUUUUGAAACUUCAGGCUGCUGCUGGCUCUCCUCGGCGGGCAUGUGCACGCUUGUUGUCCAUUAUUUCUCCCACUGUUCACAAAUUGUUGACCAUUCAGUAGGCCUAAGUUGUUUUUCACAAUCUCUGAAUGUAAUAGAAUGGUUUUGAAUCUUGGGAAAUACAAUACAACUUUCAGCAACGGAUCUCUUGGUUCUC